AGAGUUUGAUCCUGGCUCAGGACGAACGCUGGCGGCGUGCUUAAUACAUGCAAGUCGAACGGGGUCCAACCGGUGGCAACACUGGUGAAGACCUAGUGGCGAACGGGUGAGUACCACGUGAGCAACCUGCCCCGAAGACUGGGAUAACACCGGGAAACCGGUGCUAAUACCGGAUGCCCCCAUCGGAUCGCAUGAUCUGAUGAGGAAAGGAUUCUGCUUCGGGAGGGGCUCGCGGCCUAUCAGCUUGUUGGUGAGGUAACGGCUUACCAAGGCUACGACGGGUAGCUGGUCUGAGAGGACGAUCAGCCACACUGGGACUGAGACACGGCCCAGACUCCUACGGGAGGCAGCAGUAGGGAAUCUUGCGCAAUGGGCGAAAGCCUGACGCAGCAACGCCGCGUGAGGGACGAAGGCUUUCUGAGUUGUAAACCUCUUUCAGCAGGGACGAUUGUGACGGUACCUGCAGAAGAAGCACCGGCCAACUACGUGCCAGCAGCCGCGGUGAUACGUAGGGUGCGAGCGUUGUCCGGAUUUAUUGGGCGUAAAGAGCUCGUAGGCGGUUCGAUAAGUCGGGUGUGAAAUCUCCAGGCUCAACCUGGAGUCGCCACUCGAUACUGUCGUGACUAGAGUCCGGUAGGGGACCAUGGAAUUCCUGGUGUAGCGGUGAAAUGCGCAGAUAUCAGGAGGAACACCAGUAGCGAAGGCGGUGGUCUGGGCCGGUACUGACGCUGAGGAGCGAAAGCGUGGGGAGCGAACAGGAUUAGAUACCCCGGUAGUCC
rnacentral:rRNA from 1 species